rnacentral:rRNA from 1 species
UGGGGAAUAUUGGACAAUGGGGGCAACCCUGAUCCAGCAAUGCCGCGUGUAUGAAGAAGGUCUUCGGAUUGUAAAGCACUUUCGACGGGGACGAUGAUGACGGUACCCGUAGAAGAAGCCCCGGCUAACUUCGUGCCAGCAGCCGCGGUAAUACGAAGGGGGCUAGCGUUGCUCGGAAUGACUGGGCGUAAAGGGCGUGUAGGCGGUUUACACAGUCAGAUGUGAAAUCCCCGGGCUUAACCUGGGAGCUGCAUUUGAUACGUGUAGACUAGAGUGUGAGAGAGGGUUGUGGAAUUCCCAGUGUAGAGGUGAAAUUCGUAGAUAUUGGGAAGAACACCGGUGGCGAAGGCGGCAACCUGGCUCAUGACUGACGCUGAGGCGCGAAAGCGUGGGGAGCAAACAGGAUUAGGAUACCCUGGUAGUC